AUGAUCUUCAGGGAGCAGCUCUAUAUGGCAUCUGGUCCAAUGGAGCACAGAGAGUUAACCCCAGUCAAAAGCAAGGCUGCCAAGCACGUAAACAAGGAGUGGAAAACUGGCGAUUCUUACCCCCCUCCCCAACUGAAACCUCUUCCUCCCUCCUUACAAACCAUUUCACUGAUUUGGCAUCAACUGUUUCCAAAGAAAUUACAAAUUUUAAAUUGCAAGGUGUUCCGGAUGCGAAAGUGCAAUAAAAUUCUGGCCAUUCAUUCGAUUCUACCCCUCAUCACACCAGACGCGGCUUCCUUUAAAAAGAACAAAACCAAGACGCUUUUACAAUCCUCUCCAGCCUAUUUCACGAAGACUGGUAGCGAACGCCGGGAGCCGCGGAGAGAACGCCAACCCCUCGGCCGGACACUAAGAGUUAAGAUGUGGCGGAGGGGGUGGCGGGGGAGGGGCGGAGAGGAGAAAGUGGCGAGGGGGAGGGAGGCCGGGCGGGGGCGCGGGGGGGACGACAGAUUUCCAGCUUCUACGACGCUCUGCCUAAAUUAAAAAGCAACCAAUCGGAACGGCCGGAAGGGGGGCCGCGCGCCCUGAGCCAGUCAUUCCGGGCCUGCCAAUCACCCAGCGGGUAGCCAAUCAGCGGGGGCCCUGGUGCUCGACUUCCUUGUAUUUGGGAAAGUGUGGUGGUGGGUGCGCGCUCGCGGCGGAGGGUAAACAUUCGACAGUCCCUGCUCUGAGAGGGAGGGACAGAGAGCGAACUGUCAGAUCCCGGCGAGAGCGGGCGGGCGAGCGAGGGAGAGGGAGUGAGAGAGCGAGGGAGAGAGAGAGGGAGGGAGAGGGAAAGUGAGCGAGGGAGCGAGAGCGCGAACGAGGGCGCAGAGCGAGCUCCCGCUGCAACUCCGCUCCGGCUCGGCCAGCGCCAGCGCCGUCGGUGCACCCUGCGAGCCGUGCAACGUGCCCACUGGAGUGGGUUGUGUAUCAAGGAUCCCCUAUAUGCACACACACACCUCCACCUCCACCAAUGCACUCUUCUUCCUCCUCCUCCUCCAGACAACUGCUGGGAAAAAAAUAAAACACCAGCCCCAACCGCCA
rnacentral:lncRNA from 12 species